GAUGAACGCUGGCGGCGUGCCUAAUACAUGCAAGUCGAGCGAAUGGAUUAAGAGCUUGCUCUUAUGAAGUUAGCGGCGGACGGGUGAGUAACACGUGGGUAACCUGCCCAUAAGACUGGGAUAACUCCGGGAAACCGGGGCUAAUACCGGAUAACAUUUUGAACCGCAUGGUUCGAAAUUGAAAGGCGGCUUCGGCUGUCACUUAUGGAUGGAUCCGCGUCGCAUUAGCUAGUUGGUGAGGUAACGGCUCACCAAGGCAACGAUGCGUAGCCGACCUGAGAGGGUGGUCGGCCACACUGGGACUGGGACACGGCCCAGACUCCUACGGGAGGCAGCAGUAGGGAAUCUUCCGCAAUGGACGAAAGUCUGACGGAGCAACGCCGCGUGAGUGAUGAAGGCUUUCGGGUCGUAAAACUCUGUUGUUAGGGAAGAACAAGUGCUAGUUGAAUAAGCUGGCACCUUGACGGUACCUAACCAGAAAGCCACGGCUAACUACGUGCCAGCCGCCGCUGUAA
rnacentral:rRNA from 1 species